rnacentral:rRNA from 1 species
ACGUUAGCGGCGGACGGGUGAGUAACACGUGGGUAACCUACCUAUAAGACUGGGAUAACUUCGGGAAACCGGAGCUAAUACCGGAUAAUAUUUCGAACCGCAUGGUUCGAUAGUGAAAGAUGGUUUAGCUAUCACUUAUAGAUGGACCCGCGCCGUAUUAGCUAGUUGGUAAGGUAACGGCUUACCAAGGCGACGAUACGUAGCCGACCUGAGAGGGUGAUCGGCCACACUGGAACUGAGACACGGUCCAGACUCCUACGGGAGGCAGCAGCG